UACGAAGGGGGGCUAGCGUUGUUCGGAAUGACUGGGCGUAAAGGGCGCGUAGGCGGCGAUGUAAGUCAGGCGUGAAAGCCCCGGGCUCAACCUGGGAAUUGCAUUCGAGACUGCGUAGCUAGGGUGCGGAAGAGGGAAGCGGAAUUUCCGGUGUAGCGGUGAAAUGCGUAGAUAUCGGAAGGAACACCAGUGGCGAAAGCGGCUUCCUGGUCCAGCACCGACGUCAGGCACGAAAGCGUGGGGAGCAAACAGG
rnacentral:rRNA from 1 species